rnacentral:rRNA from 1 species
AUGUCGCGGCCGUCGUCGCCAAGGAUCCGCAGUUCCUCUGCGCCAAAGUGGACAAAACUCUGGCCCCUGUCGCCGUCGGGCUCACCGGCCUCAUACAUCAGCGAUGACAAGAUCGCUGCCAAAGUGGACUACUUGAAGAAGGCGUUUAGGUGGUCAGAUACCGAGGUUGGCAUUGCUGUGUCCAAGGGUCCGUUCUUGCUGAGGAGGUCAAAUGACGUGCUGCAGCGUAUGUCAGAGUUCCUGAUCUGUGAGGUGGGGUUGGAACCGGCGUACAUUGCUCAUCGCCCCGCUAUGCUCACUCGUAGCCUCGAGGGCCGGCUCAGGCCCCGGUACCAUGUUAUGAGGUUUCUUAAGGAAAAUGGAUUGAUAAAUCAUGACAGAGACUACUAUACUAUGGUGGUGGUCAGCGAGAAGGUAUUUGUGGAGAAGUUCAUAUGCCCUCACAAGCAAGCUGCACCACACCUUGCUGAAGACUAUGCAGCUGCUUGCACAGGACAGGUGCCUGCUACAUUCAGAUUUACAUGA